GCGGGCGUGACUCAGGCGCGGCGGGCGCGGCCGCCUCGACAGCAUCCUCGGCCGAGGCGGCGGCCGGCGCGCGCGCAUCGGGCACGGCGGCGGGCGUCGCAGCGGACGGCGCGGCCGCUCGCGGCGCGG
rnacentral:rRNA from 1 species